rnacentral:rRNA from 1 species
AGUGAACGCUGGCGGUAGGUCUAACACAUGCAAGUCGAACGGCAGCACAGUAAGAGCUUGCUCUUACGGGUGGCGAGUGGCGGACGGGUGAGGAAUACAUCGGAAUCUACUUUUUCGUGGGGGAUAACGUAGGGAAACUUACGCUAAUACCGCAUACGACCUACGGGUGAAAGCAGGGGAUCUUCGGACCUUGCGCGAUUGAAUGAGCCGAUGUCGGAUUAGCUAGUUGGCGGGGUAAAGGCCCACCAAGGCGACGAUCCGUAGCUGGUCUGAGAGGAUGAUCAGCCACACUGGAACUGAGACACGGUCCAGACUCCUACGGGAGGCAGCAGUGGGGAAUAUUUGACAAUGGGCGCAAGCCUGAUCCAGCCAUACCGCGUGGGUGAAGAAGGCCUUCGGGUUGUAAAGCCCUUUUGUUGGGAAAGAAAAGCAGCAGGUUAAUACCCCGCUGUUCUGACGGUACCCGAAGAAUAAGCACCGGCUAACUUCGUG